rnacentral:rRNA from 1 species
UACGGGGGGGGCAAGCGUUGUUCGGAAUUACUGGGCGUAAAGGGCUCGUAGGUGGCCGACUAAGUCGGACGUGAAAUCCCUCAGCUUAACUGGGGAACUGCGUCCGAUACUGGAUGGCUUGAGUUUGGGAGAGGGAUGCGGAAUUCCAGGUGUAGCGGUGAAAUGCGUAGAUAUCUGGGAGGAACACCGGUGGCGAAGGCGGCAUCCUGGACCAACACUGACACUGAGGAGCGAAAGCCAGGGGAGCAAACGGG